rnacentral:lncRNA from 1 species
AAUAAUUCUAUCAACCAACAAGUUUUAAUAUAAACAUGAUUAGUAUUGUAUUAGUAGAUACAAUUUUAAUAUGUUUAAAUUCUUCUAUGGUGCACUUGUGUUUACGUGUUUUGUAGCUAGACCCAUAUUAUCAACAAUUUCUUGUAUAACUUUGAAUUCUGUAUUUGUAGUUAUUAUUGGAUUACACAGGAUAUAAAAAUACAAGUAUUUGCAAUAAUUUGAUAUCCAGACAUGCAUGAUUUAUUAUUAUUAUUAUGAUCAUUAUUUAACUUUUAAAUAUAUAAUUGAAUUGUAAGGGUAAAUUUCACAUAAGACUUGAUAUGAAACCUACAAGUGUAAUCAAUGAUUUGAUUAUGAUUAGUCUUUAUCAUCACAA